AUUGAGAGACAGGGGCGUUCGUCGCGAGGCGGACUGAGAAGUACCCUUUGAACCUGAACCAGAUAAUGCUGGCGGAGGGAGUCGCUUGGGGUCUUCG
rnacentral:ncRNA from 2 species